rnacentral:rRNA from 1 species
GCCUACGGCCAUACCACCCUGAGAACGCCCGAUCUCGUCUGAUCUCGGAAGCCAAGCAGGGUCGGGCCCGGUUAGUACUUGGAUGGGAGACCGCCUGGGAAUACCGGGUGCUGUAGGCU